UACGUAGGUGGCAAGCGUUGUCCGGAUUUACUGGGCGUAAAGAGCGCGCAGGCGGUCGUCCAAGUCGCGUGUGAAAGCCCCCCGGCUCAACUGGGGAGGGUCACGCGAUACUGGUCGACUCGAAGGCAGGAGAGGGUAGUGGAAUUCCCGGUGUAGUGGUGAAAUGCGUAGAUAUCGGGAGGAACACCAGUGGCGAAGGCGACUACCUGGCCUGUUCUUGACGCUGAGGCGCGAAAGCUAGGGGAGCAAACAGG
rnacentral:rRNA from 1 species